GUCUCCCAUCUUUCCCCUUCCAGGUCCUGCCCAGCUGGCCAAACCAUUCGCUCCUACCCAUGAGUCUGUGUCUGCUCUAUCCCUGGGCUGCUGCGCUUUCCAUACAGAGUGGAUAACCAGCUUGUCAUAAGGGACCUCUCACCCCACCGUGGAGCCACAGGUAUGACGAGGGGAGGGACCUCUGACACGACCACAGAGCCACAGGUAUUACCAGGGGAGGGACCUCUCACCCAUCAUGGAGCCACAGGUAUGAUGAGGGGAGGGGCCUCUCACCCCUCCGUGGAGCCACAGGUAGGAACUAGGGAGACACGCCGAUGCAACAGCAGUGGAUGGCUGGGGUCUGGUUACCUGCUCACCCAGGUUGCUUUUUCCUUCCACACCUGCUCAUGCGUGAUUCUGGAUGCACCAGUAUCAUCUUCCCUUAUUGCUUCUGAGCUUACUCGAUUGCAUUUUAACAAGAUCCUUAAGUUACCUGUGUGCAUGUUAAAAUUAGAGAAGCACUCCUUAGUAGCAGACAAACAUAAGGAGAGGUGGAAGUGACAGCGCCUUCCUGCCAGAGGACACAGGCAAAGGCUCCAAGAUGGUUUGGAGGGGAAGCAGAAUGAAUGCAGGGUGAUCGUGAGGAGACGACUGCAGGAGUCAGGGGAGAAACAAUGGCGGCUUGGAAUAACAUAGUAGCUAUGGAAAUUGAGAGAGACAGAGGCAGACUUAAGAAAGUUCUCUGAGGUGGGCUUGACAGGACUUCGUGGCUGAGCGGAGGCGCACUGAGAGAAGGCAGCGGCUCGACAGACUCCCCUGAUUCUGGCAUCUCGUGGUGGCUGUACUGACAAGCAGAUCUGUUUGGGACACACUGAGUUUAAGGUGAGUUUGAGACAUCCAAGUGGCAAUGGAAGGCAAGUGUUGGGUUGUCAGAGCUGGAUCCCAGGUGGGAGAGGCCCAAGUGACAGGUAGAGAAUCAGGCGUCA